UAUUUGAGUGAGUGGCGGACGGGUGAGUACACGGUGGUAACCUGACCUAAAGGUGGGGAUAACAUUUGGAAACAGAUGCUUAAUACCGCAUAAAACCUAACACCGCAUGGUGUUAGGGUUGAAAGAUGGUUUCGGCUAUCACUUUAGGAUGGACCCGCGGUGCAUUAGUUAGUUGGUGAGGUAAAGGCUCACCAAGACCGUGAUGCAUAGCCGACCUGAGAGGUAAUCGGCCACACUGGGACUGAGACACGGCCCAGACUCCUACGGGAGGCAGCAGUAGGGAAUCUUCCACAAUGGACGAAAGUCUGAUGGAGCAACGCCGCGUGAGUGAAGAAGGUUUUCGGAUCGUAAAACUCUGUUGUUGGAGAAGAAUGUAUCUGAUAGUAACUGAUCAGGUAGUGACGGUAUCCAAUCAGAAAGCCACGGCUAACUACGUG
rnacentral:rRNA from 1 species